UUUCUCAAAUAUGUUUAUUUUUUGGACAAAUAAAUAUGUAGGUUGUCAAAAUAACGUCAUCUAAUAUCGAAAUAGUAUAUUGAAUGCAACAAGAUGUAUUUUCAUUCUCAGAAACCUUUUUUUAAUGGCUCUGUAUACUAUAUUGUUCGGCCUAAGCAUAUUCAUGAUAGCCUUAGUCAUCGCAAUUAUCAGAAAAGUCUUCUUCCAUUGGAAAGAAGAACAUAAAAUAGAAAGAAUGUAUAAAAUAAAUACGGUGGAUCGGCCCGCUGUGUGCGUAAUGAUAUUUGCGGAGAAAUGUCUAUUCAGAAAACGCACUUAUUCGCCUGGCGUAGACAUUUUCGAUGUUAUCACCAAAAGUGACAUAAGUCUUACAAAACACUUUGAUAAUCCAUAGCUUUGUUUUAAGUUUGUUUUAUCCAUUAAAUUGUAUGUUAAGUA